rnacentral:rRNA from 1 species
UAUNGGUCAAUGGGCGGGAGCCUGAACCAGCNAAGUCGCGUGAGGGAGUAAGGCCCUACGGGUCGUAAACCUCUUUUGCCGGGGAGCAGGGCUGCUGACGUGUCCGCCUUUUGAGAGUCCCCGGAGAAAAAGCAUCGGCUAACUCCGUGCCAGCAGCCGCGGUAAUACGGAGGAUGCGAGCGUUAUCCGGAUUUAUUGGGUUUAAAGGGUGCGUAGGCGGGCUUUUAAGUCAGCGGUAAAAAGUCGGGGCUCAACCCCGGCCGGCCGUUGAAACUGGGGGCCUUGAGUGGGCGAGAAGAAGGCGGAAUGCGUGGUGUAGCGGUGAAAUGCAUAGAUAUCACGCAGAACCCCGAUUGCGAAGGCAGCCUUCCGGCGCCCUACUGACGCUGAGGCACGAAAGUGCGGGGAUCGAACAGG